rnacentral:rRNA from 1 species
UACGUAGGGUGCAAGCGUUGUCCGGAAUUAUUGGGCGUAAAGAGCUCGUAGGCGGUCUGUCGCGUCGGUCGUGAAAACUUGGGGCUUAACCCUGAGCUUGCGGUCGAUACGGGCAUGACUGGAGUUCGGCAGGGGAGACUGGAAUUCCUGGUGUAGCGGUGAAAUGCGCAGAUAUCAGGAGGAACACCGGUGGCGAAGGCGGGUCUCUGGGCCGAUACUGACGCUGAGGUGCGAAAGCGUGGGGAGCAAACAGG